GCCCCUUCCCUUAUGUAAUUCAUGGAGAGCAUAAAAUCAAGCAUAAAAGGGGAAAUAAAAUGAAAGGAUAGGCUUGGAGGAAGUUGGUGCAAGAGAGAAGAGAGGAGUUUUUGUGAAGAGGGACUCUUUCAAAAAGAAAAUAAACCUAAACCACUUUCCAUAAUAAAUCAAAUCACUUUCCAUAUUGAACCAAAUCAAAUCUGAUUCAAAUCUCUAGAAUAAGUAGUGUGAGAUCACUUUCCUUAGAUGUGG
rnacentral:lncRNA from 1 species